rnacentral:rRNA from 1 species
UAAUACGUAGGGGGCUAGCGUUGUCCGGAUUUAUUGGGCGUAAAGAGCGUGUAGGCGGCCGAGUAAGUCCGGUGUGAAAACUCGAGGCUUAACCUCGAGAUGUCAUCGGAAACUAUUCGGCUAGAGUCCGGAAGAGGAGAGUGGAAUUCCUGGUGUAGCGGUGAAAUGCGCAGAUAUCAGGAAGAACACCUAUGGCGAAAGCAGCUCUCUGGGACGGUACUGACGCUGAGACGCGAAAGCGUGGGGAGCGAACAGGAUUAGAUACCCUGGUAGUCCACGCCGUAAACGAUGGGUGCUAGGUGUGGGCGGUGUCGACUCCGUCCGUGCCGAAGCUAACGCAUUAAGCACCCCGCCUGGGGAGUACGGCCGCAAGGCUA